UACGUAGGUGGCAAGCGUUGUUCGGAAUUAUUGGGCGUAAAGGGCGCGUAGGCGGUUUUGUAAGUCAGCUGUGAAAGCCCGGGGCUCAACCCCGGAGGGUCGGCUGAUACUGCAGGACUAGAGUACGGAAGAGGUAGCUGGAAUUCCCGGUGUAGCGGUGAAAUGCGUAGAUAGUCGGGAGGAACACCUGAGGCGAAGGCGGGCUACUGGGCCGAUACUGACGCUGAGGCGCGAAAGCCAGGGGAGCAAACGGG
rnacentral:rRNA from 1 species